AAAGCUCUUUCGCAAGGGAAGAAACGUUACAGUCUAAUAAACUGUGAUAAUGACGGUACCUUGAUAAGAAGCACCGGCUAACUACGUGCCAGCAGCCGCGGUAAUACGUAGGGUGCGAGCGUUAAUCGGAAUUACUGGGCGUAAAGCGUGCGCAGGCGGUUUUGUAAGUCAGAUGUGAAAUCCCCGAGCUCAACUUGGGAACUGCGUUUGAAACUACAAGGCUAGAGUAUGGUAGAGGGGGGUAGAAUUCCACGUGUAGCAGUGAAAUGCGUAGAGAUGUGGAGGAAUACCAAUGGCGAAGGCAGCCCCCUGGACUAAUACUGACGCUCAUGCACGAAAGCGUGGGGAGCAAACAGGAUUAGAUACCCUGGUAGUCCACGCCCUAAACGAUGUCUACUAGUUGUUGGGAGAGU
rnacentral:rRNA from 1 species